rnacentral:lncRNA from 10 species
CGCGGGGCGGAAGACCCGCGAAGUGUUCAAGCGGCCGCAGAGCGGCCCAGAGUUCGCAGGUCUGGGGCUCUCUUCCCAGAGAGCUCGUAGGGGAGGACAGUCAAGGGACUCAAGCGUCUCUCUUGACUCCCCUUCUCUCGCUGUGCAGUGGCGGCGCCGAGGGGUCGACGCUCAGGGCUAAUCUCUAUGAGUCACCCUCGAGGCCCCGGGUAAGAUUGGGUGGAUCACAAGAACUAAUCUUUCAUGAUUUGGAAACCGGAAGGAAAGAAGCACUUUUGUAGCUGACUUACCUCAAUGACAUGACCAGUGUCUGAGCCUACAACUGCGCUAUCUUCCCUGGAUUUUUCUUCACCUUUUCCUUACUCAUGAGCCAGGUAUCCCGGAAGCCUGAAGGGAAAGGUUCAAGUCCAGGCUUCCAUUAAAACCCCACUAAUAGACUUGUUCUGCCAUCAAUCAGCCACAGACCUGUACUGCAAGAUGCCUACUACACACCCAGUGCUGAGCUGUGGAAAAUCCAGAACACACGUGACCACAGACAAUCAUGAAGGCGCUGAUAAUAGCAGCUUCUCAAAGGGAAAAUUGUGUCCGGGACCCGCUGG